rnacentral:rRNA from 1 species
AGAGUUUGAUCCUGGCUCAGAUUGAACGCUGGCGGCAUGCCUUACACAUGCAAGUCGAACGGCAGCACGGGAGCAAUCCUGGUGGCGAGUGGCGAACGGGUGAGUAAUAUAUCGCAACGUGCCCAGUCGUGGGGGAUAACGCAGCGAAAGCUGUGCUAAUACCGCAUACGAUCUCUGGAUGAAAGCGGGGGACUCGCAAGGGCCUCGCGCGAUUGGAGCGGCCGAUAUCAGAUUAGCUAGUUGGUGGGGUAAAAGCCCACCAAGGCGACGAUCUGUAGCUGGUCUGAGAGGACGACCAGCCACACUGGAACUGAGACACGGUCCAGACUCCUACGGGAGGCAGCAGUGGGGUAUUUUGGUCAAUGGGCGCAAGCCUGAUCCAGCAAUGCCGCGUGCAGGAUGAAGGCCUUCGGGUUGUAAACU